rnacentral:rRNA from 1 species
AGAGUUUGAUCAUGGCUCAGAACGAACGCUGGCGGCAUGCCUAACACAUGCAAGUCGAACGAAGGCUUCGGCCUUAGUGGCGCACGGGUGAGUAACACGUGGGAACCUGCCUCUUUGUUCGGAAUAACUGCGGGAAACUGCAGCUAAUACCGGAUACGCCCUACGGGGGAAAGAUUUAUCGCAGAGAGAGGGGCCCGCGUCCGAUUAGGUAGUUGGUGGGGUAAUGGCCUACCAAGCCGACGAUCGGUAGCUGGUCUGAGAGGAUGAUCAGCCACACUGGGACUGAGACACGGCCCAGACUCCUACGGGAGGCAGCAGUGGGGAAUAUUGGACAAUGGGCGCAAGCCUGAUCCAGCAAUGCCGCGUGAAUGAUGAAGGCCUUAGGGUUGUAAAGUUCUUUCGUCGGGGACGAUGAUGACGGUACCCGAAGAAGAAGCCCCGGCUAACUUCGUGCCAGCAGCCGCGGUAAUACGAAGGGGGCUAGCGUUGUUCGGAAUUACUGGGCGUAAAGGGCGCGUAGGCGGCCAUUCAAGUUAGGCGUGAAAGCCCUGGGCUCAACCUAGGAAUUGCGCUUGAUACUGUAUGGCUUGAGUUCGGGAGAGGUGAGUGGAAUUCCCAGUGUAGAGGUGAAAUUCGUAGAUAUUGGGAAGAACACCAGUGGCGAAGGCGGCUCACUGGACCGACACUGACGCUGAGGCGCGAAAGCGUGGGGAGCAAACAGGAUUAGAUACCCUAGUAGUCC